rnacentral:rRNA from 1 species
GACGAACGCUGGCGGCGUGCCUAAUACAUGCAAGUUGAGCGGUCAAGGUUGGUACUUGUCCCGACUGGCUGCGCGGCGCACGGGUGAGUAACGCGUGGGGAAUCAACCUGUGAGCAGGGGACAACAUUUGGAAACGAAUGCUAAUACCACAUAAGAGCUUUGAACAAAAAAUUUACGUUUUAAAUAUGCAAUUGCAUCACUGAAAGAUGAUCCCGCGUUGUAUUAGCUGGUGGGGGAGGUAAAGGCUCACCAAGGCGAUGAUACAUAGCCGACCUGAGAGGGGGAUCGGCCACAUUGGGACUGAGACACGGCCCAAACGACUACGGGAUGCAGCAGUAGGGAAUCUUCGGCAAUGGACGAAAGUCUGACCGAGCAACGCCGCGUGAGUGAAGAAGGUUGUCGGAUCGUAAAACUCUGUUGGUAGAGAAGAACGUUGGUGAGAGUGGAAAGCUCAUAAAGUGACGGUAACUACCCAGAAAGGGACGGCUAACUACGUG